rnacentral:ribozyme from 14 species
CUGCCAAAACACACACACACAAAAGAAAGAAAGAAACAAGAAAGGAAAAAGUAAGGGUAAGGACAAAA